UGGGGAGGCGGAAACGCGAGCCGGGACCGCGGGUGCGAGCGGGCGGAGGAGCGAGCGCGACCGACGGCCGGGCCGGGCGAGGCGAGCGGAGAGCGAGCGCGAGAGCGAGGGGCCGCCGCCCGCAGCCGCACAAAGGCCGAGGCUGGGGCCGCCGCCGCGGCGCGCGGGCCUGGGAGCGGCGUCGGCCGGGGCCCCGGAGCGCGCGGCGCCGGGCGGCCAUGGCGGGCUACGUGCCGGGUCAGCAGCCGGCCAACCGCAGCCAGGAGAAGGAGUUCGUGCAGGCGUACGAGGAUGUGCUGGAGCGCUACAAAGGGCAGGAUGUCUCUUACCACCUGAGGGUACAUUCACUGGAACCUAUUGGAGGAUAAAAGAUGAACGGUCCGGAAAAGCGUAUGGACGUAGUAUACUACCGUGCUUUGGAAUGCUCUGAUUCCCAGGAAAAGGUGCAUUGUCUGCGAGAAUACAACUGGAGUCCAGGCCGCUGCACCCCUCCCCCUUCCCGAGAACCUCCCAUCGGAACCAUCACUCACUUCAUAAUUCCAAACAUCCUUGUUUUUGUUAUAUUUUUAUCUGAUAUGGUGAAACACACAGAGGAAAUGACAAGCUAACAUAUGUUGUCUUUUAAAUGCACUUAGUUCAAGUGGCUAUUUUAAAUGUCAGUUGUUCCUGCCAUUAGAUUCCUGUUGUCUGGGCUGUUUUUUUUCUUCCUGGGUUGGGAGGAGUUUCUGAUAGAAUUUUACAGUGGCAUUAAAUCCAGAUCUUUCCUGGCUAAUGGAUAA